GAGUUUGAUCCUGGCUCAGAUUGAACGCUGGCGGCAGGCCUAACACAUGCAAGUCGAACGGUAACAGGAAACAGCUUGCUGUUUCGCUGACGAGUGGCGGACGGGUGAGUAAUGUCUGGGAAACUGCCUGAUGGAGGGGGAUAACUACUGGAAACGGUAGCUAAUACCGCAUAACGUCGCAAGACCAAAGAGGGGGACCUUCGGGCCUCUUGUCAUCGGAUGUGCCCAGAUGGGAUUAGCUAGUAGGUGGGGUAACGGCUCACCUAGGCGACGAUCCCUAGCUGGUCUGAGAGGAUGACCAGCCACACUGGAACUGAGACACGGUCCAGACUCCUACGGGAGGCAGCAGUGGGGAAUAUUGCACAAUGGGCGCAAGCCUGAUGCAGCCAUGCCGCGUGUAUGAAGAAGGCCUUCGGGUUGUAAAGUACUUUCAGCGGGGAGGAAGGGAGUAAAGUUAAUACCUUUGCUCAUUGACGUUACCCGCAGAAGAAGCACCGGCUAACUCCGUGCCAGCAGCCGCGGUAAUACGGAGGGUGCAAGCGUUAAUCGGAAUUACUGGGCGUAAAGCGCACGCAGGCGGUUUGUUAAGUCAGAUGUGAAAUCCCCGGGCUCAACCUGGGAACUGCAUCUGAUACUGGCAAGCUUGAGUCUCGUAGAGGGGGGUAGAAUUCCAGGUGUAGCGGUGAAAUGCGUAGA
rnacentral:rRNA from 1 species